rnacentral:rRNA from 1 species
GUGGCGAACGGGUGAGUAACGCGUGAGGAACCUGCCUCAAAGAGGGGGACAACAGUUGGAAACGACUGCUAAUACCGCAUAAGCCCACGGCUCGGCAUCGAGCAGAGGGAAAAGGAGCAAUCCGCUUUGAGAUGGCCUCGCGUCCGAUUAGCUAGUUGGUGAGGUAACGGCCCACCAAGGCAACGAUCGGUAGCCGGACUGAGAGGUUGAACGGCCACAUUGGGACUGAGACACGGCCCAGACUCCUACGGGAGGCAGCAGUGGGGAAUAUUGCACAAUGGGGGAAACCCUGAUGCAGCGACGCCGCGUGGAGGAAGAAGGUCUUCGGAUUGUAAACUCCUGUUGUUGAGGAAGAUAAUGACGGUACUCAACAAGGAAGUGACGGCUAACUACGUGCCAGCAGCCGCGGUAAAACGUAGGUCACAAGCGUUGUCCGGAAUUACUGGGUGUAAAGGGAGCGCAGGCGGGAAGGCAAGUUGGAAGUGAAAUCCAUGGGCUCAACCCAUGAACUGCUUUCAAAACUGUUUUUCUUGAGUAGUGCAGAGGUAGGCG